rnacentral:rRNA from 1 species
GGGGUGCUCGAGUGGCGAACGGGUGAGUAACACGUGAGUAACCUGCCCUUGACUUUGGGAUAACUUCAGGAAACUGGGGCUAAUACCGGAUAGGAGCUCCUGCUGCAUGGUGGGGGUUGGAAAGUUUCGGCGGUUGGGGAUGGACUCGCGGCUUAUCAGCUUGUUGGUGGGGUAGUGGCUUACCAAGGCUUUGACGGGUAGUCGGCCUGAGAGGGUGACCGGCCACAUUGGGACUGAGAUACGGCCCAG